rnacentral:rRNA from 1 species
CGCCUUAUACUCCUACGGGAGGCAGCAGUGGGGAAUUUUGGACAAUGGGGGCAACCCUGAUCCAGCAAUGCCGCGUGAGUGAAGAAGGCCUUCGGGUUGUAAAGCUCUUUUGUCAGGGAAGAAACGGUAGUAGCUAAUAUCUAUUACUAAUGACGGUACCUGAAGAAUAAGCACCGGCUAACUCUGUGCCAGCAGCCGCGGUAAUACAGAGGGUGCAAGCGUUAAUCGGAAUUACUGGGCGUAAAGCGCGCGUAGGUGGUUUGUUAAGUUGGAUGUGAAAUCCCCGGGCUCAACCUGGGAACUGCAUUCAAAACUGACUGACUAGAGUAUGGUAGAGCGUGGUGGAAUUUCCUGUGUAGCGGUGAAAUGCGUAGAUAUAGGAAGGAACACCAGUGGCGAAGGCGACCACCUGGACUGAUACUGACACUGAGGUGCGAAAGCGUGGGGAGCAAACAGGAUUAGAUACCCCUGUAGUCCACGUACCA